rnacentral:rRNA from 1 species
GUCAGCCACACCGGGACGGGGCGACGGCCCGGACUCCUACGGGAGGCAGCAGUGGGGAAUAUUGGACAAUGGGGGAAACCCUGAUCCAGCCAUGCCGCGUGUGUGAAGAAGGCCUUUUGGUUGUAAAGCACUUUAAGCAGUGAAGAAGACUCCUCGGUUAAUACCCGUGGACGAUGACAUUAGCUGCAGAAUAAGCACCG